CUUCACCGAGCCCAGCCACAACGGCCGGCUUUCGGGGCGGUCCUGGCCGUAGGUGGCGAGCAGCGCAUGGGCCUC
rnacentral:antisense_RNA from 1 species